rnacentral:rRNA from 1 species
AUUGAACGCUGGCGGAAUGCUUUACACAUGCAAGUCGGGCGGCAGCGCGGGGGCAACCCUGGCGGCGAGCGGCGAACGGGUGAGUAACACAUCGGAACGUACCCUGUCGUGGGGGAUAACGAAUCGAAAGAUUCGCUAAUACCGCAUACGACCUGAGGGUGAAAGCGGGGGAUCGCAAGACCUCGCGCGAGAGGAGCGGCCGAUGGCGGAUUAGCUAGUUGGUGGGGUAAAGGCCCACCAAGGCGACGAUCCGUAGCGGGUCUGAGAGGACGGCCCGCCACACUGGGACUGAGACACGGCCCAGACUCCUACGGGAGGCAGCAGUGGGGAAUUUUGGACAAUGGGGGCAACCCUGAUCCAGCCAUUCCGCGUGAGUGAAGAAGGCCU